rnacentral:rRNA from 1 species
GAUGAACGCUAGCGGCAGGCUUAAUACAUGCAAGUCGAGGGGCAUCAAGGUACACGAAAGUGUAUUGUUGGCGACCGGCGGACGGGUGAGUAAUAGGUAGGUAACCUACCUCAUACUGAGGCAUAGCUGGGAGAAAUUCCAGGUAAUUCCUCAUGAGGUUAUAUGACACAUGUGAUAUAAUCAAAGGUAUCGCAAGGUACUGGUAUGAGAUGGGCUUACUGACCAUUAGCUAGUUGGUGAGAUAAGAGCUCACCAAGGCGAAGAUGGUUAGGGGUUUUGAGAGAGAGAUCCCCCACAUUGGAACUGAGAUACGGUCCAGACUCCUACGGGAGGCAGCAGUGGGGAAUAUUGCACAAUGGGCGAAAGCCUGAUGCAGCAACGUCGCGUGAGCGAAGAAGGCCUUUGGGUCGUAAAGCUCUGUCGGGUAGGAAGAUAAUGACGGUACUACCCGAGGAAGCCCCGGUAACUACGUGCCAGCAGCCGAC